rnacentral:rRNA from 1 species
AUUGAACGCUGGCGGCAGGCCUAACACAUGCAAGUCGAGCGGAUGAAGGGAGCUUGCUCCUGGAUUCAGCGGCGGACGGGUGAGUAAUGCCUAGGAAUCUGCCUGGUAGUGGGGGAUAACGUCCGGAAACGGGCGCUAAUACCGCAUACGUCCUGAGGGAGAAAGUGGGGGAUCUUCGGACCUCACGCUAUCAGAUGAGCCUAGGUCGGAUUAGCUAGUUGGUGGGGUAAAGGCCUACUAAGGCGACGAUCCGUAACUGGUCUGAGAGGAUGAUCAGUCACACUGGAACUGAGACACGGUCCAGACUCCUACGGGAGGCAGCAGUGGGGAAUAUUGGACAAUGGGCGAAAGCCUGAUCCAGCCAUGCCGCGUGUGUGAAGAAGGUCUUCGGAUUGUAAAGCACUUUAAGUUGGGAGGAAGGGCGGUAAGUUAAUACCUUGCUGUUUUGACGUUACCAACAGAAUAAGCACCGGCUAACUUCGUG